GUUUGCAAUAGCUUGGAGCUGCGCCUGAACCAGUGCUAACAUCUGCCAUCAGUUUGAUCUAAAAGAAGAGAAACCCAUAGUUAACCCCAGCAGUGGACCAAUCCAGCUGUACUGAGGAAUGCUGCUUCAACCCAAUGUGAGACAGGAGCUGGAAUUCCGGAAAGGCCCUGCAGGUGUCAGAAGGCCACACAUGCUUCCAUUCAAUGUCAGUCCCAGAAACUCUUCCCUGCCUGAUGUCUGGAGUGGGAUCCUCAGCUAUCCUGGGAGAUGAUGACGUUCCAGCAGGCAUCCAUGGGACUUUCACACUUCUUAUGACUGAAACACCUUCAGAAAUCCCAUCCUUAGCAUUCCUCAUUACCGUCUCAUUUCCAGAAGUGCUUAGCAGCUUUGCCUGGGCUUUACUGCUGGAUAUCACUUGGGUGAAAUCUUCUCAAUCUCCUCCCUUAAUGAUGGUAAGCACUGAGGGAGCUGUGCUGAGGACACUUAGAACCAGGGCUGACAAUUGUGGAUUACAUCUUUGAAACACCUGCCAAAAAACAUUGAGUAGAGAUGAAG
ensembl:lncRNA